rnacentral:rRNA from 1 species
GGGUGCGAUCAUACCAGCACUAAUGCACUGGAUCACAUUAGAACUCUACAGUUAAGUGUGCUUGGGUGAGAAUAGUACUAGGUUGGGCGACCUCCUUAGUAGUCCUCGUGUGGCACCCU